GCACUCACUGUGGCAGCACUUACAUUACAACUGGAGCAACACGAUAUUAGCGUGGCCCCUGUGCAAGGAUGACACACAAAUCGUGAUGCCCUCCACAGUUUU
rnacentral:snRNA from 1 species